UUGCAAUAUGGUUGGUAUUUAUACAUCGUAUUUCGAGGUUUCAUAAAUAUUCAACAAAUUGCAGGAAACUAGAAAUUUGUAAAGGAUUCCACAUAAAUAGUUUGUCAAAGAAAUUCUGAAAAGAUGCAAUUGAGACAUCAUCCAUGGGAAGUGCACAGGCUCGGGACCACACAGUUGUCUGUCUCAUCUCAGCAAUUAUAAGAUCAUAAAAAUCAUAUAUUUUCUUUGAUGUAUCCGAAUUGUCCUUAGGUAGGGAUUUCAAUUUAUACCGAUUAUGUACAAUUUAAAUAUGCAUUAUCUUUAGUCAGCCAUAAAUUUGUGUGCAUAUGUAUGCGUACAUAAGUAUAUGAUGUUAUAUUACCUGUAAAAUUACCUACCGAUGUUUUUUCAUUUAUUGGAACGUGCCCACAGAUGAAGCCAUUUACUUGGAUUUGUAGAGUUCGGUUCGGGUGUAAUAAAGUAAAAUAGAAUUUUUAUUUUAUUCCGCUUUAUGACUCUACCUUUCCUCUCGAUGCACUUAACUGCAAUUAUUACAUCCGUUGCUUUUCGGUGGGGUCUACAAUACCCAUUUAUGUUCUAGUUACCAAGUUAACGAAGAUAUUUCAUGAGCAUGGUUGGACAAAAAAUAUAAUAAAUUAUAAAUAUGUAUCCAUAAAUA